rnacentral:lncRNA from 1 species
GCAUUUUAUAGCAGUCUGGGCUGCCACAAAAUGCACCGCUAAAAAUACAGUUUCUGCUUGUCCCACAAUUUAUUAAAUUUGAGAGUGAAGUUGUAGGACUGAUGCUGGUUAGUGGUGUAGGUUUCAUGGAUGUGACACCUGAACUUGUGUAAAAUGACCACCAGAGCAUAUUCCGAGACUUCUGGUUAGUUCACUGUAGUUAGGCAGAGGUGUCUUAAAAGUACCACCUUAUACAGAAAGAAUGAAGUUCCAGUAUAAAAAAGAAUAAGAAGAGAAAAAAGCUACACCCUGCUAAAUGAAGUAACUUUUAAACAUUACUCUAAAUGUAACAUAUAGAAAGGAAAUCAGUCUAAGUAUACGUUACCUAGUAAGUAUACUACUAUUGCUUCUUGGGGACUACAUUGGCCCCCGUUUUAGUAUAUAGAAGUAUACUUGAAAUGAACUUUUGGAUGUACUUUUUGUUCACUAUAACUGUACUAGCAUAAUGUCCUUUCCAGUCUAUAAGAGUAUACUUAAAAUAUACUCUAACACAAUACUAAACUUACAAGUAUACUAUUGAUUUACUUUUUAGUUUAUAUUUGGCUUACUUCUGGUUGAAAUAUAGUAAUUAAAAUCCAGUUGAAACAUAUUUUUCACAUGUAACAAAUCACUCCAUUCCCCAGACAGUCAGAUAAUAGUUCCAACUAUCAGAAGGCUUCCUUUGCAGAGAAUUACACUCAUAGUUCAAGUACCAGAAUUAUAUUGCAAACAGUUGAGAAAAUGAUUUGACAGUUGAGGUUUAUUAACUAUUAACCCUUUUCACUCACGGUUUAAACAUUUUUUUUUAUCCCACUUACUCUGUUCAGAAGGUAAAAGACAUUACACAAGAAUUUGUGACAAAUUCUUGUUUAAAACAUCAAUUAUUUGUUUCAUAGUUGUUUUAAUUUUACAGUUAAAGCACUAUAUCACACACACAGAAAGAAACAUUAGAGCUCGAGUUUAGAUACUUUAGAUCUAAAUAGAUAAAACUAACUCUUAGUUUCAGCAAUCAGUGAACAGACAAACAAUGAUACCAUACUGAUUCUGUAUGAAUACAAUAUGGUAUUUUUUUUUAUAAUUUUUUGAUAAAUUAGUUUGCUAAAUUAUAAGAAUAUAUAUAUAUAUAUAUUUUUUAUUAUUAUUUA